rnacentral:rRNA from 1 species
GGACCAAGGAGUUUAGCGUGUACGCGAGUCAUUGGGUGCAAAACCUAAAGGCGGAAUGAAAGUAAAGGAAACUCGCUUUCUGAGGGAGGAUGGGUGUCCUGCCGUAUUCCGGCGGCGCCCCGCACUCCCGGGGCGUCUCUUUCUCAUUACGAGUGGAGGCGCACCUAUAGCGUACACGCUGAUACCCGAAAGAUGGUGAACUAUGCCUGGCCAGGACGAAGCCAGGGGAAACCCUGGUGGAGGUCCGCAGCGAUUCUGACGUGCAAAUCGAUCGUCGGAGCUGGGUAUAGGGGCGAAAGACCAAUCGAACCAUCUAGUAGCUGGUUCCCUCUGAAGUUUCCCUCAGGAUAGCUUGCGCUCGGUUGAGACGAGUCUCAUCCGGUAGAGCGAAUGAUUAGAGGCCUUGGGGUCGAAACGACCUCAACCUAUUCUCAAACUCCAAAUAGAUGAGAUCCCCGGCUUGCUUGAAAGUGAAGCCGGGACUCGGAUCAGAGUGCCAAGUGGGCCAAUUUUGGUAAGCAGAACUGGCGCUGUGGGAUGAACCAAACGCGGAGUUAAGGCGCCUGAAUCGACGCUCAUGUGAAACCAUGAAAGGCGUUGGUUGCUUAAGACAGCAGGACGGUGGCCAUGGAAGUCGGAA